rnacentral:rRNA from 1 species
UUUGAGAGGGGCUGUCCUUAGUACGAGAGGACCGGGAUGGACGCACCGCUGGUGUACCAGUUGUUCCGCCAGGAGCAUCGCUGGGUAGCCAAGUGCGGGAGGGAUAAGCGCUGAAAGCAUCUAAGCGCGAAGCCCGCCUCAAGAUGAGAUUUCCCAAUUCGUAAGACCCCUUGGAGAACACGAGGUUGAUAGGCUCGGGGUGUAAGCACAGCAAUGUGUGUAGCUGACGAGUACUAAUCGGUCGAGGGCUUAUCCUAA